rnacentral:rRNA from 1 species
AUUGAACGCUGGCGGCAUGCCUUACACAUGCAAGUCGAACGGUAACGGGCCUUCGGGUGCCGACGAGUGGCGAACGGGUGAGUAAUACAUCGGAACGUGCCCGAUCGUGGGGGAUAACGAGGCGAAAGCUUUGCUAAAACCGCACACGACCUACGGAGGAAAGCCGGGGACCGCAAGGCCUUGCGCGGACGGAGCGGCAGAUGGCAGAUUAGUUGGUUGGUGGGAUAAAAGCUUACCAAGCCGACGAUCUGUAGCUGGUCUGAGAGGAUGAUCAGCCACACUGGGACUGAGACACGGCCCAGACUCCUACGGGAGGCAGCAGUGGGGAAUUUUGGACAAUGGGCGCAAGCCUAAUCCAGCCAUGCCGCGUGCAGGAUGAAGGCCUUCGGGUUGUAAACUGCUUUUGUAAGGAACGAAAAGCCUUCUUUUAAUACAGGAGGUUCAUGACGUUACCGUAAGAAUAAGCACCGGCUAACUACGUG